rnacentral:lncRNA from 1 species
UUGUCGCCCUCACCCAGCUGCUGUGGCGGAGAAACGGAGGCCAGCGCGGGGAGCGGAAGCCGGAGCCUGUCGGGAGCGACCCCGGGAAGGCCAGUCCCUCCUGCCGGAGGGAGGCGUGUUGGCGUGCGGCCGGUGGCGGGAUCGAUGGCCACCUGGUAGGCGAUGCUGCUGUGGCGGAGAAACGGAGGCCAGCGCGGGGAGCGGAAGCCGGAGCCUGUCGGGAGCGACCCCGGGAAGGCCAGUCCCUCCUGCCGGAGGGAGGCGUGUUGGCGUGCGGCCGGUGGCGGGAUCGAUGGCCACCUGGUAGGCGAUGGUAAGCGGCAGUGGCCUGCGCCAACGUAGCCCCGGGGGCGCCGUGUGUGGCGCCCGGACCCGCACCCUCUGCUCCCGGGGGUGGAGCUGACCUGCUUGCCCGCGGUUGGGCUCGGGAGCCUGCGGGCCGCGGCCAGGAGGGAGCUGGCUGGCCGUCCCGGCGGUGGGGGCUGUGGCGGUGGCCGUCCCGCGGGUGUGCCCGUGCUCGGAUCGAUGAUGACACCCACAAACGCAUU